AGAUCGCCUGUCUGUUGAACGAAGGGCCGUGUGAUGACCUCGGAAGAUCUGCCAAAGUUUCGUUGAAGGAGGUACUGAUUAAUAACUGCGCUCGUUGCCAACCACAACAACGUGCAAAUGCUGCUAAGGUUGUGCAAUUCGUAUCAAAGAAUUACCCGAAAGAAUGGGCCCGAUUAGUUAAAUUAUACGGAGGAAACGCUCGACGAUCGUAAUUUGAAGAAGAAAAUUGUGAAUUUUAUUGUCCUGUAUUUUUUUCAAUAAUAUAUUCCUAAUCUGUUACUGCAUACAUCCUAUACAUUGAUUAAAAUUACUCAAUUUUUAUUCAUCGCGUUGACAAUAGAGAAUGACUCGUCUCC
rnacentral:misc_RNA from 1 species